GGUUAAUGCAUUAUUCUUACUAAAUCAAAGUAUUACAUUUCUUUAAAAAAUCUUACUGAGCUCAAUUUAAUUCAACAAUUGAGGAAACAUUUUGAUCUGGCCGGAUCUGUUUUUAAAGUUUAUCUGCUGGUGUCUGUGUCUUUAAAUCAUUUUUAAACGAAUUAUGUCCACCUGAGCGGUUGUUCGGACCUCUGUUUCCUAGCAACAAGGCCAGAUGUCCUGGAUCACUGUGGGAGGCGAGCGCGAAUCUAAGGGGAUGUUUUGUUUCGAUGUUAAUGUUACAUAAGGGCUCUUUACGCGUCAAAGAACUUAAGGUGCCCUCUCAGAAUGGUUGUUUUCUGAGGAACUUACAAGAUGGAAGUUUCUCCAAUACUGUCAACAUGCCAGCAACCCUAAGGGAAAUUAUUUGAGAAUCCUCCUGACCAGACCUUUGCCCCCCAGGUAUUUGUGUUAUUCAGCCAGAACCGUG